rnacentral:snoRNA from 1 species
GCGUGACGCCGGGUCAGGCUGCAGCGCUAGAGCAGUGCUCGUGCAUAACUGGGGCCACACACACUCCCGGGUGGCGCCUUUAACCGCGAGCGACACAU